rnacentral:rRNA from 1 species
AUUGAACGCUGGCGGCAGGCCUAACACAUGCAAGUCGAGCGAGCGGCGGACGGGUGAGUAAUGUCUGGGAAACUGCCUGAUGGAGGGGGAUAACCACUGGAAACGGUAGCUAAUACCGCAUACCAUCAGAUGUGCCCAGAUGGGAUUAGCUAGUGGGGGGGGUACUGGCUCACCUAGGCUACGAUCCCUAGCUGGUCUGAGAGGAUGACCAGCCAAACUGGAACUGAGACACGGUCCAGACUCCUACGGGAGGCAGCAGUGGGGAAUAUUGCACAAUGGGCGCAAGCCUGACGCAGCAAUGCCGCGUGAGUGAUGAAGGUCUUCGGGUUGUAAAGCACUGUCAGCGGGGAGGCGUUACCCGCAGAAAAAGCACCGGCUAACUCCGUGCCAGCAGCCGCGGUAAUUC